AUCAAAUUUUAGGCCAAAUCCUAAAUCCUAAAUCAAAUCCUAAAUAAAUCCUAAAUCCUAAAUCAAACCAUAGACAAAGCCUAAAUCCUAAAUUCUAAACCAAAUCCUAAAAAAAGCCUAAAUCUUAAAUCAAAUCUUAAAUAAAUCUUUAAUUCUAAAAUCUAAAUAAAAUUUUAAUCAAAUACUAAAUUCUAAAUUAAAUCCUAAAAAAAUCCUAAAUCUUAAACCAAAUCCUAGACAAAUCCUAAAUCCUAAAUCAAAUCUUAAGGCAGAUUAGAACUCUAAUAUUUAUUGAUUAAAUUAUUGAUCUUGCUUAAGUAUUUACACACCUUUCAAAUUCAAAGUUAAAAAAUGAUACAACAUAUUUAAAGAUAAUUUUACUUACUAAAUAGAAGAAAAAUCCUAAAAUCUACUUAGGGAUUAGCAAGCCUCCUACUCCAAUCUAAAUGUUGAACUUCUAGUACCAAUAUCUUGUUUUCAAAUUAUUUAAUUAUUUUCAAAUUUCACAUAUAUAUAGAAAAUCAAGUCUAUUACCUUUACAUGUAAAUUUUACUCUAAUCCAACUAGUGGAUUGCUAAAGAUCUUGGAAGCUCUAAAUGUCCCUCAAAGUCCAAUUUCUAAGACCUUAACUUAUUUGAAAUUCAAUAACCUUUAAUUCAACUAUUUGAUCAAGCUCAAA
rnacentral:lncRNA from 1 species